AACGAACGCUGGCGGCAGGCCUAACACAUGCAAGUCGAGCGAGCAUUUCGGUGCUAGCGGCGGACGGGUGAGUAACGCGUGGGAACGUGCCCUUUUCUGCGGAAUAGUCCUGGGAAACUGGGGGUAAUACCGCAUACGCCCUUUUGGGGAAAGAUUUAUCGGAGAAGGAUCGGCCCGCGUUGGAUUAGGUAGUUGGUGGGGUAAUGGCCCACCAAGCCGACGAUCCAUAGCUGGUUUGAGAGGAUGAUCAGCCACACUGGGACUGAGACACGGCCCAGACUCCUACGGGAGGCAGCAGUGGGGAAUCUUAGACAAUGGGGGCAACCCUGAUCUAGCCAUGCCGCGUGAGUGAUGAAGGCCUUAGGGUUGUAAAGCUCUUUCAGCUGGGAAGAUAAUGACGGUACCUGCAGAAGAAGCCCCGGCUAACUCCGUG
rnacentral:rRNA from 1 species